UUUGGAGUGGUUCCCCAGCUGUAGAAAGAAGCAGCUCCUGGUGCAGGUGAACGCAUGUGAAGGCCCACCCCUGGGUUGAAUUGCACUUCUGCAGUCCCUGGCGGAUGCACCAGUCUUCAGACCAUGACUUGUUGGUGGACUGGGUGGGAAUUUGAAGUCUGUCAAAUUGGGUAGAUGAACAAGUAUGGGUUCAGUUGCAUCCCAUUUACAGGAUGAAUAGGAUUCAGUUUCAUCUGAAAGGAGCCUGGGUCAUCCAGACUACACCACAGUGAGAACCAAAGCACAGAAAAUGGGAACCAUUGGGAGGUUUGCCUCGAAAGCACCUAAAACCCUAACUACAACCGUGAUGGAGACACACUCCCAGCGGGUCACAAUAAAUACGCAGUGACAGUGGAGACAAGUGGGUUUCAGAUUCCUAUUUGGAACCCGUCAUUACUUCAUUUAUCCAUUUCUACCAGAUCAUACUGGAUGAGUGUCUCUUUUUACAGUAUGCAAUUCAGAUUUAUGAAUGCAGUUCAUGUAAAUUGGAUAUUAGUUGUGUUUCCAGAUACGAUGAUUCAGCUCUAGAGUAUUUGCUUUCUCUUUUCCAUCAUUUGAAAUGUCAUGCCCCGUAAGUACUGUCUCCUCAGACACUAGUGUUGGAAAACACCCUGAAGAACAGCGCUG
rnacentral:lncRNA from 1 species